GCGGCGCCGCGCGAGUUCCAGAGGCCGUGCGCGCUCCCUCGCGAGAACUGGGGGCCGGGCCGCGCGCCUGAGUCACCUCCCACCCAACCGCCCCCCUUCGAGGAGCGCGGACACCCGCCCCCCCCGCAAUCCGCACGAACUCUUGGGUUCCUGGACGCCUGGAAGCCAGCGCGGCUCAGAAUAUUCCAGGACUAUCGGCACGCAUCCACCCGAGCUCAAGCGGCUGAGGGCCGACUUUUGGGCAGAGGCGCCGCGCCCCCUGGUGGCUCCUGCGGGGAUAGCAGGCAGGGGGUGGGCCAAGAGUUCACACCCCCCAGACCCCCAACCUCCGCCACACACCCACUUUAUAAAUGAGGAAACUGAGGCCUGGAGAGGAACUGGAUUGCAUCAUGAAUUGCAAGUUCACCUGGCUGUCUUGGAGCUCACCCCAUCCUCCGUUUCCAGGGAAUGGCACGUGUCCUAGGCCCAGCCAAUCAGAGUAUUCCAGUUGGGCUGUCCGUUGACGACAGUGAUUGGUUCAGAGGUUGCAUUGAACACUCAGGAGAGAGUGAGAAUGAAAAAGGGAGGUUUUGUAGGGCCUAGAGACAGAAUCCUGGGAACUGAACACCUCUGGGGCCAUGGGACCUGGUUCAAGAGACAGCUCUGACUACAAGCAAGAUCCUCCUUUUGCUGCAUAUCCAUCCACAGUGCUCCGUGGAAACUUGGGACGCCCCAGCAGAAGAGGUGCCCGGGAUGGGGCGUGGUCGGGUCCAGCGCCUCCACUGUCCCGCAUCCGGGGGCCGCCGCUCGGGGCCG